AGCUUCUUCUUCUUCUUCUUCUUCUGUCUACUUACAUAAAGUUAUCCUGC
rnacentral:misc_RNA from 1 species